GAUCUCCAAGUGCCACUUGGUUCUUCCGCUGGGUGAUCCAGACCAGAUGCCGCAACAUUUUGGUUCCCUGACUGGGAAACCCAACCGCGCUGGCCCAUUGUUGCCACCGGUUUGGGGAAACGGUGAGGCGGUGAAGGAAUGAGGAAUCGUGAAGGAGAAGACCUGUCCUGCUUGAAUUUUGGCAGUCUCCAGUUGGGUCGCCUGGGGCUGGACCCGCUCUGCCCGUUCCCGCUGGACUCAAGGAGACUUGUUUCUUCCUGCCUGGUGCCAAGACUUCUUCACCACCAUAACCUGUAGCUGACAGAUGAGCCUUUCUACUCAAGGAGGUUCAAGUAUGUUGAAUCGGCUGUUUCCUUUGGUGACUCCUACAAAUAUAUAUAUACUGACAGGUCUGACGGGUCAGGAAAAAGACACCAAGAUGGCAGAUCAGACUCCAUCUUAUGGCUGCCUCAGGACAUUCCCGCCACCAGCUUCCCACUCCCAGUUUCCAGCCACUGGUUUCUCAAAAGACGUGUCGCCUCAGCAGAAACAAAACCCAAACCCAAAAAAAACGAGACCAAAUAAGGAAACCUGCCCUCGCCGGGCCUCGACCCGGAGCUACAGUCCUCUAUAUACCCCUCUCCCCAGUCUCUGGGCGCGACUUCCCCCGGCUUGCUUCUACCCCCAAGGCGCGGAGCCUCACCGAGAGCCCUUUACAAUAAAGGUGUGUUCAGUCCUUUC